UUCAUGUACGUGCGGUUAUCAUGUUACCUGAGCAGAACAACUAUUUCCAUAACUAUAUUCCUAAACAAAAUAACAAAAUAACAAAAUUUAUUCCAUCACGAACUAUGAAUGCAUGUAUCCAAUUUAACUUUGAAUAUACGAUGAGCAAGUCCUUCAACCUGAAAAGACUAUGAAAAUUAAGUUAGCAUCAGAAAUAAUACAUGGAGGUGCUAGGUAAGGAGUUGAUGGCGAGAUUCAUAUCAAGAAUGGUAUUAUAAAGCACAUCGUGUGUCUCCUCAGAUGCACAUUAUGCCGUGAGUUUGUAAGUUCUAAUGGCUAUUUCAAGCUGCACGACUCACCUCACAUGUUACAACAGAAGAAGAGAUAAACCGGUUCAGUUUCGCUUUCGCCUGGCUGGCCAGGAGGGACUGAGCGCAUAAUUGCUGGAUUAAUUCAUCUAUUUGUUUAGACUUCUCUUACAGCUGCUCCAAGUAGUGCAGAUGUUGUAUAUCACGUUAUGUGCGACAAAUAGAGAAUAACCCUAGAUUAGCACCGGAUUAGAACAAAUCAGGCCUAGUACAAAUAGAGAAAGACCGGGGGGCGUAGAUCAGGACUGGAUUAGAACGACACGGGCCUAGCCGAGGCAUGCUCGGAGGGAGGAGGCUAGGGAGUCGACUUACUUGUCUUCCUCAUUUCCACUAAAUUUGAGAUGGCCUGGCACUAAAUUUGUUACGGAAACAACAUGUGUCAACUAUUCCUUUGAACAGGGC
rnacentral:lncRNA from 1 species